AGGUCUGGAUGGACUCUUACACCCAUCAAGGGCAAAUUUAAGGGUUAGUAACAGUUAGGUUAGCUGGCCUGUGACCCUUGGUUACCAGAAUGCUGUUGCCUAAACCGGUGGCAAAUUACAGCAAAGUGACACACUAAGCGCUGCUCCGUAAUGGUUAGAUCAAACUUUCACACAGCCCCCCCCCACUUCCUCCUCAUCCCUCAAGUUUGUUUGUUGCCUGGAUGGGCAGCUACUCAAGCAGAAAAAACAGGAAGUAGGUGGACGGGGUAGGGAAGCCGCUCCGAGUAGGUGGACGGGUUAAGGGAAGCCGCUCCGAGUAGGUGGACGGGGUAGGGAAGCCACUCCGAGUAGGUGGACGGGUUAAGGGAAGCCGCUCCGAGUAGGUGGACGGGGUAGGGAAGCAGCUCCGAGUAGGUGGACGGGGUAGGGAAGCCGCUCCGAGUAGGUGGACGGGGUAGGGAAGCCGCUCCGAGUAGGUGGACGGGGUAGGAAAGCCGCUCCGAGUAGGUGGACGGGGUAUGGAAGCAGCUCCGAGUAGGUGGACGGGUUAGGGAAGCCGCUCCGAGUAGGUGGACGGGGUAGCGAAGCCGCUCCGAGUAGGUGGACGGGGUAGGGAAGCCGCUCCGAGUAGGUGGACGGGGUAGGGAAGCCGCUCCGAGUAGGUGGACGGGGUAGCGAAGCCGCUCCGAGUAGGUGGACGGGGUAGGGAAGCCGCUCCGAGUAGGUGGAAGGGGUAGCGAAGCCGCUCCGAGUAGGUGGACGGGGUAGGGAAGCCGCUCCGAGUAGGUGGACGGGAUAGGGAAGCAGCUCCGAGUAGGUGGACGGGGUAUGGAAGCCGUUCCGAGUAGGUGGACGGGGUAGGGAAGCCGCUCCGAGUAGGUGGACGGGGUAGGAAAGCCGCUCCGAGUAGGUGGAAGGGGUAGGGAAGCCGCUCCGAGUAGGUGGACGGGGUAUGGAAGCAGCUCCGAGUAGGUGGACGGGUUAGGGAAGCCGCUCCGAGUAGGUGGACGGGGUAUGGAAACCGCUCCGAGUAGGUGGACGGGGUAGGGAAGCCGCCCCGAGUAGGUGGACGGGGUAGGAAAGCCGCCCCGAGUAGGUGGACAGGGUAGCGAAGCCGCUCCGCACCGCUGCCGUUACUACUCAGAGAGCCAGACGUCUAUAUUAAGAGAUUAAACAUACUGCUCAGGACUUUGGGCUCCUUUUCAAGCCCACAUAAUAAACCGCUAAAUUAAAUUAUGAUACUUU